UACGUAGGCAGCGAGCGUUGUUCGGAGUUACUGGGCGUAAAGGGUGCGUAGGCGGUUGUUUAAGUUUGGUGUGAAAUCUCCCGGCUCAACCGGGAGGGUGCGCCGAAUACUGAAUGACUAGAGUGCGGGAGAGGAUAGUGGAAUUCCUGGUGUAGCGGUGAAAUGCGUAGAUAUCAGGAGGAACACCGGUGGUGUAGACGGCUAUCUGGACCGUAACUGACGCUGAGGCACGAAAGCGUGGGUAGCAAACAGG
rnacentral:rRNA from 1 species